rnacentral:rRNA from 1 species
GAUGAACGCUAGCUACAGGCUUAACACAUGCAAGUCGAGGGACCGGCGCACGGGUGAGUGACACUUAUCCAACCUGCCCGUUACCCGGGGAUAGCCUUUCGAAAGAAAGAUUAAUACCCGAUAUAAAGUAUGGGGGUGCGUUCCAUUAGGUUGUUGGUGAGGUAACGGCUCACCAAGCCUUCGAUGGAUAGGCGGUCGGAGAGGAAGGCCGCCCGUCUUGGAACAGCGACCAUGGCCACACUCCUACGGGAGGCAGCAGUGAUGACGACUGGGCAAUGGGCGCUAGCCUGAACCAGCCAAGUAGCGUGAAGGAUGAAGGCUUAUGGGUCGUAAACUGCUUAUAAAUAACAAUUUGUAUUAUCUGAAGAAGGAUCGGCUAACUCCGUGCCAGCAGCCGCGGUAAUAC